CCCUUAGAUGUCCUGGGCCGCACGCGCGUUACACUGAUGCAUUCAACGAGCUUAUAACCUUGGCCGAGAGGCCUGGGCAAUCUUGUUAACGUGCAUCGUGAUAGGGAUAGAUUAUUGAAAUUAUUAAUCUUGAACGAGGAAUUCCUAGUAAACGCAGAUCAUCAAUCUGCAUUGAUUACGUCCCUGCCCUUUGUGCACACCGCCCGCCGCACCUACCGAUUGGAUGGUCCGGUGAAGCCUCGGGAUUGUGGUUCUUGCCGCUUUAUUGUGGCGUGACCGCGAGAACUUGUCUAAACCUUAUCAUCUAGAGGAAGGUGAAGUCGUAACA
rnacentral:rRNA from 1 species